ACGGUGUAGCUCAAUGGAUAGAGCGUCGGCGCCCAUACCGCUCGCGAAGAGCGGCAUCGAUGGUUGGUUGGCCCCUUCAUCGUACCGCGUCGAAGAUCUGGGUUCAAAUCCCGGCACCGUUC
rnacentral:tRNA from 1 species